AAAAUUUCAGCAAUCUAUAUUUAAAUGUUUCAGGACUCUCAUCAAAUUAGAGUCCUAAAUUGUUGAAUGAAGCAAGUCUCCAAGGUAGAAUUGUAAAAAUUAAUCAAUAACAGAGAUGGAAGUAUGAUUGAAAUAAUGCAAUAACCACUAAUGGGGCAAAUCCCCCUCCCCCACUACCCACCCCAAAAAAAUCCCUCUUCUCUCCCAUGUUAUAGAUAAUAAUGACAUAAUAUUUGGGUUGAAGAUGAUCAAGUUCUAGAGGUUUGUCAGUUUCCUUAACGUCUAUGAAGGUGGCUACUGCCUCAGCUUAUACAAAGCAUACUUAGAUGUGCGUGUAAAAGCUGUCAGAUUGAAGCUGCUAUUUAGAUGUUUUUCUAUGUGAUGGGCAUGUAUAUUGGUUUAAUUCAUAUUUGUGUGUGACGCAUGGCAUUUUUUGACAUUAUAGUCGACUCGUACUUGGAUGGGGGAUUGCUAGGUAAACGUAACUAGUCAAAUUGCAGUCUUUCAGUUAAAAGAAAAAAUUGCAACAGAGAUAAAAGCAAAAUUUACUGAUCACUUAGGGAGAGAGUUUGGUGAUUAAUAUGAAAUCUGCCAUCAGUUUGCUUGUACAAUGUUUUGACAU
rnacentral:lncRNA from 1 species